CCUACGGGGGACAGCAGUGAGGAAUAUUGGUCAAUGGGCGGGAGUCUGAACCAGCCAAGUCGCGUGAGGGAAGACGGUCCUACGGAUUGUAAACCUCUUUUGCCGGGGAGCAACGGGGUCCUUGCGAGGGGCCGAUGAGAGUACCCGGAGAAAAAGCAUGGGCUAACUCCGUGCCAGCAGCGGCGGUAAUACGGAGGAUGCGAGCGUUAUCCGGAUUUAUGGGGUUUAAGGGGUGCGUAGGCGGGCUGUUAGGUCAGCGGUCAAAUGUCGGGGCUAAACCCCGGCCUGCCGUUGAAACUGGCGGCCUCGAGUGCGCGUGAAGUAUGCGGAAUGCGUGGUGUAGCGGUGAAAUGCAUAGAUAUCACGCAGAACACCGAUUGCGAAGGCAGCAUACCGGCGCCCGACUGACGCUGAGGCACGAAAGCGUGGGUAUCGAACAGGAUUAGAUACCCCUGUAGUC
rnacentral:rRNA from 1 species